rnacentral:lncRNA from 1 species
AGUAAACACAGAACACAUCCUCUCCAUCUCCAGGGCCCUUUUCCUCUCGCUCUGAAUGCUCAGGCUGUCCCUUCUCGCCAGGUUGCCCAACAUGAAGUCAGAAGCCUUGGACUGGGAAUUCCACGUUGGCGGAUUUUGAAAAGCCGGCCCCAAACGCAAAGGCAGAUGUCACUCAUGAACUCCAAGAACGCUGUCUUCCUCUGCAGACCCAUGGAAUAGCUAGCUGGGACUGAGCUCUCCAGGUCUGAUUCGGAGGUGAAGCUGUUGGCCAGUCAUGGAGACUGUCUCCUCACAAAUCAUCUGGGAGGUGCAGGCGGGAGAAGCAAGGCCCAGGGAAGCUGACUCAUCCAAGACUUGGGAGAUGGAGAUGCUGCAGGGGAUGGUGAGGACUGAGCCAACUGUGUGCACGCCCGUGUCUUGCAGGCUACAAAGGGCUGAACAGGUGAAGGCUUUGGGUGCUGGGGUGACUGGGGCCCCUUGAGGCCAGGGAGGGUUCAGGUGAGGGCCCCCUGCCAAGCGAUGUCCCUCAGGUGUCACAUCACCUCAAGGUAAGCUGUGAGCAUCACCACAGUUAUUUGGGUUUGCCCGUAAUUACAUUCUAUAUGCACUGUCCGUGGCUGUGGACAAGUGUAUCCUACGCACUUUGGCCAAGGGCAAGUUCCCCACCAUUGGCCCACCCCCUGCCCACGG